UACAGAGGUCUCAAGCGUUGUUCGGAUUCAUUGGGCGUAAAGGGUGCGUAGGCGGUGAGGUAAGUUGGAUGUGAAAUCCCGGAGCUUAACUCCGGAACUGCAUUCAAUACUGCCUUGCUAGAGUGCUGGAGAGGAGAUUGGAAUUCACGGUGUAGCAGUGAAAUGCGUAGAUAUCGUGAGGAAGACCAGUGGCGAAGGCGAAUCUCUGGACAGUGACUGACGCUGAGGCACGAAGGCUAGGGGAGCAAACAGG
rnacentral:rRNA from 1 species